rnacentral:rRNA from 1 species
UACGUAGGUGGCGAGCGUUGUCCGGAUUUACUGGGCGUAAAGGGAGCGUAGGCGGACUUUUAAGUGAGAUGUGAAAUACCCGGGCUCAACUUGGGUGCUGCAUUUCAAACUGGAAGUCUAGAGUGCAGGAGAGGAGAAUGGAAUUCCUAGUGUAGCGGUGAAAUGCGUAGAGAUUAGGAAGAACACCAGUGGCGAAGGCGAUUCUCUGGACUGUAACUGACGCUGAGGCUCGAAAGCGUGGGGAGCAAACAGGAUUAGAAACCCUCGUAGUCC